rnacentral:misc_RNA from 1 species
AAGUCGUAACAAGGUUUCCGUAGGUGAACCUGCGGAAGGAUCAUUAAAGAGUAAGGGUCUCUGGCCCGAACCUCCAACCCUCUGUUGUUAUAACUACUUCGUUGCUUUGGCGGGACCGCGAAGGUCCUCCCGAGCGCGCCAGUCUCCGGACGAGGCGAGCCGCCCGCCAGAAGUCCAUACCAAUCUUCAUGCUUUAAACCAGUCGUCUGAGUCAACAAAUUUUAAUUAAAUUAAAA